UUUACACAAACGAUACAACUCCAUUAAAAUAGUAAACUUAAUAUUAAAUUUGAAUUUGAAUCAAAAUUAACUACAAAUAAAAAAGUAUAAAAACGUGGGGCCAAAUUUGAAUUUUAUUUAAACAACAUUUAUUUGAAUAAAAAACUAUUUUGAUAAAUCGUAGAUUUUUUAAAUCUUCGGUGACAAUUCAACCCGACAAAAAUAAUUUAACGUUUAUCCACUUUAGUUCUUUAUUUUUCACUGGUGGUAAACAUUAAACACCAGAAAUAAAAGAACUGAAAAUUUGAAUCUACUUGAAGAGUCAAAAUCACAUAUUGAUCAAAAUUUCCAAGCUAGAAAUGAAAGAACUAAAAUUGCAGCUUUAGCAAAAUAAGAUAAUUCAAUAUUUCCAAACUAGAAAUGAAAGAACUAAAAUUGCAGUUUUAGCAAAAUAAGAUAAUUCAAUAUUUCCAAACUAGAAAUGAAAGAACUAAAAUUGCAGUUUUAGCAAAAUAAGAUAAUCAAAACAGCAUUUAAAAAUAAUGUUAAUGGCUUGCUAACUUUAGCCUCUCAUUAGAUUCCUCAGUUUGUGUUAGAAUGAAGACUCCUCCUAGCGAGCUCCGUCAAUUUAUCUUUGAUGAUUUUUCUGGAGCUUGCAUGCCUAGAAAUGUUCCUUUAGUUUUUAGUUUCUUGUUGGGCUUCGACUCUCUUUUGUACCAAAAAAAUAAUGUUAAUAGCAUACUAUGAGAGAGGAUUCUCUCAUGUUAAAUUUAUGUAAUUUUUUUUUCAACUAUUGAUUUAGAUGGAGGGAAAAGAGGAAAAGAAGAAAAAGGUGAAUUAAAGGGUAAGGAUUGAAAAUAUUUAGGAACAUGAGGAAAAGAAAAUUGAGAGAAUCCAUUCUCGUAAGUCUCGACCCCACGGAACACUCCAAGAGUGAGAUUACUUAAAAAGAGUCCUUAAAAACUACUGUGAACUUCAUUGAUGUAGCUCUUGC
rnacentral:lncRNA from 1 species